rnacentral:rRNA from 1 species
UACGGAGGGAGCAAACGUUGUUCGGAUUUACUGAGCGUAAAGGGUGUGUAGGCGGUCUUGCAAGUCAGGGGUGAAAUCUCUCGGCUCAACCGAGAAACUGCCUUUGAGACUGCAGGACUUGAGGGCGUGAGAGGAGACUGGAAUUCCUAGUGUAGCGGUGAAAUGCAUAGAUAUUAGGAGGAACACCAGUGGCGAAGGCGAGUCUCUGGCACGCAUCUGACGCUGAGACACGAAAGCCAGGGGAGCGAACGGG